CAGGCCUAACACAUGCAAGUCGAGCGGAUGAGAAGAGCUUGCUCUUCGAUUCAGCGGCGGACGGGUGAGUAAUGCCUAGGAAUCUGCCUGAUAGUGGGGGACAACGUUUCGAAAGGAACGCUAAUACCGCAUACGUCCUACGGGAGAAAGCAGGGGACCUUCGGGCCUUGCGCUAUCAGAUGAGCCUAGGUCGGAUUAGCUUGUUGGUGAGGUAAUGGCUCACCAAGGCGACGAUCCGUAACUGGUCUGAGAGGAUGAUCAGUCACACUGGAACUGAGACACGGUCCAGACUCCUACGGGAGGCAGCAGUGGGGAAUAUUGGACAAUGGGCGAAAGCCUGAUCCAGCCAUGCCGCGUGUGUGAAGAAGGUCUUCGGAUUGUAAAGCACUUUAAGUUGGGAGGAAGGGCAGUCAGCGAAUACCUGGUUGUUUUGACGUUACCGACAGAAUAAGCACCGGCUAACUCUGUGCCAGCAGCCGCGGUAAU
rnacentral:rRNA from 1 species